rnacentral:lncRNA from 1 species
ACCUUCCACCAUUGCAUGGAUGGGGUGAAUUACAAGCUUGAUGACAAAGGAUUCCUCUCAACCAUCCACAUAAACCCUCAAUGCCAAUGGCAGAUGCAGGUUAGGAACCAAUCACUUUCCUCCAUUGCCACAUUUUUUGCUUGGUUUUACAGAUAUCUUCUAUUCUAUCAACUGGAGAAUCAAUCUCUAGAAUGUGUGCAAGAGAGGCAAUAACCUCGACUUAACCUCCUCUUCAAUAGCAGAUGCGUGAAGAAACUUGAAGCUGCAGGAAGUACAAACAAGCUAGGGUGACGUAGUUCACCCUAUUGAGCAAAGUUUUCGGGCAAAAGCGAAGUCAAAUGAGUGAGACAUGCAACUGAGAUUUGAAGUUGUAAGCUUCCACGAAAUGGAUAACAAGAGCCUGUGAGACAACCUUUCACCAUCAGCUAAGAAUCGAAGUUGCCUGAUGCCACUCGAAUGUUAUCCACACAUUAUGUGUUCUAUACUGUAGCCAUUUUGUCCAGUUCGAUGGGCCACAUUGAUCCAUCGAAGGACCUUUCUUGCGAUCUUUUCUUUCUUAUAUGUAAUAUCCUCCUCCGAAACAGAGCGCACAUCUGUGUUUCAUAAAAAAUAGUCAUCUACAAGUAUCUCAUAG